GGUCAGCUGACACAUCCCUGCCCAUCUCCGGCAGACCCUCCCUCCCAGACCCUCCCACCUCCUGGACAGCAUCCAUGUUGAAGCUGCUUUCAAAAUGGAUGCUGUCCAGGAAAUAGGAGGGUCUGGGAGGGAGGGUCUGCCGGAGAUUGGCAGGGAUGUGUCAGCUG
rnacentral:miRNA from 1 species